UACGAAGGGGGCUAGCGUUGCUCGGAAUCACUGGGCGUAAAGCGCACGUAGGCGGAUCUUUAAGUCAGGGGUGAAAUCCCAAGGCUCAACCUUGGAACUGCCUUUGAUACUGGGGAUCUCGAGUCCGGAAGAGGUUGGUGGAACUCCGAGUGUAGAGGUGAAAUUCGUAGAUAUUCGGAAGAACACAGUGGCGAAGGCGGCCAACUGGUCCGGCACUGACGCUGAGGUGCGAAAGCGUGGGGAGCAAACAGG
rnacentral:rRNA from 1 species